rnacentral:rRNA from 1 species
GUCUACAGCCAUACCACCCUGAACACUCCUGAUCCUGUCGGAUCUCUGAAGCUAAGCAGCAUCAGGCCUGAUUAGUACUUGGAUGGGAGACCACCUAGGAAGACCAGGGUGCUGUAGGCA